rnacentral:rRNA from 1 species
UACAGAGGGUGCAAGCGUUGUUCGGAAUUACUGGGCGUAAAGGGCGCGUAGGCGGCCUGAUAAGUAGGGGGUGAAAUCCUGCGGCUUAACCGCAGGGCUGCCUUCUAAACUGUCAGGCUGGAGCACAGUAGAGGCAGGUGGAAUUCCCGGGUGUAGCGGUGGAAUGCGUAGAGAUCCGGAGGAAGACCGGUGGCGAAGGCGGUCUGCUGGGCAGUUCUGGACACUGAUGCGCGCAGCGUGGGGAGCAAACAGG